AUCCUGACAGUGCGACUCCGCGUGCGGCUUCUCCCUGCCAUGGUCUUAGAUUUCAACCUGUCUCAGUGUAUGAAGAGCGAGAAGGAUUCAUUCCAGUGUAAGAACACAGCAGGAAGGUGGCUGCCCCCCACCCCCAACCAAGAAGAUGGCCGUCACCAGGAAACAAACUGGCUUCCACCUUGAUCCUGGACUUCAUCUGUUGUUGAAGCCGCCCAGCUUACAGCAAUGUGUUACGGUGGCCUGAGCUGACUAAGACACCCUACUUGGCAAAAUCUCAGGAUUAUUCUCUACUUUGACUGGAGGACAGAAGAAGCUGAGAAGUGGAGGUACUACUUUCUUGUCAGGGUCGUGGGGCCCCAGAGAAGACUGAAUUCAUAACCUCAGCAAAUCUGCCAUGGCAAGCUCAGGUCUCUGAACACCAGGGCCAGGAUACCGGGGCCAGUGAACAUGGAAAUCUUGACUCCCUAGAUGCCUCCAACCCUCUGAGCCUACAGGAGUGGCCUGU
rnacentral:lncRNA from 1 species